rnacentral:lncRNA from 1 species
CAACCUAUUAGGGAUGUUGAGAUAUGUAAAGCACUUAGAACAGUGCAAGGCAGAAAAUAAAUGUAUCCAUUCUUGGAGUCGAGGGUUGGGACACGCUGCUGUGUGUUAUGUUAAAGACCCAGGAGUUGGAACUGAGCCACACUCAUCAAGGCCCCAGUGUUUCAAGCAGGGAUGAAAACUGUUAGGCAUCAUUUUUCCUAGCUUAGUCUUCUGAGUUGCAGGGUGGAGAUGCCAAAUACUAACAUCAGAUGGGCAGAUCAAGGUGAUAAAGCUGUAGGUGUGACACAAUCCAUGUUGGCCUGCUAUCAUUCUGGGGACUUGGAAAUGGCCCUGGCUUCAUGUUACACUCACCUUGCUCUAAAAGCGGAUAGCAACUGCCAAUUUCCGGGUUCCAGCCAGAGCAACUGAAUCAGAAUCUGUGGAGGUAAUACAGGGACAUGUGGCUUUUCAAAGAUGUUUCAGGUAACUAAUAGCCAAGGUGGAGAAGAGGUGAUCUACCCCUCUCCCCAGCAUUUCAAAGGUAACCUUCUCUCCUAGAUUAGCUACUUUUAAGGAUUUAGGGUUAAACAUGCCCUUUCCAGAUCUUCAGGCUGUUCUUUCUUUCCUGGUUGCUUGAAGAGACUUUUAAAGAUGGACUCAACUAUUUAUAAGGCAACAUGAAAAUCUAUAAAAGCCAAGGCAACAGCUAUACAGGAAUUAAUGCUUUGGAGACCAGAGCUUUUUCUGGAUGAAGAAAAUGGAAGCCCAUAAGAACCCCCAACUUUGCCAUCCCUUUCAAAUCCCUCUCUGCUUCUGCCUCACCUCCCCACCUCCGCCAACCAUCCCCCAUUCACUAUCCUGAGGCAGAAUGCCCAGGACUCAAGGCUGGAGGUAGAGGGCUGAGCAGUGUACCUAAAAAGCUGCUUCAAGUUCAUGGCGGUACGUGGAAUCAAAAAUAGCUCUGUGGUCAGUCUGGGAGGAUGCUAAGGAACCAAUUCAUUUUUAAAAUAAUGAGGA